rnacentral:rRNA from 1 species
UCGAGGAUCUUCGGCAAUGGGCGCAAGCCUGACCGAGCGACGCCGCGUGCGGGAUGAAGGCUUUCGGGUUGUAAACCGCUGUCAGUGGGGAGGAAAUUUAGGUGGGUACUCUCAUCUAAUUGACCUAUCCGCAGAGGAAGCAAGGGCUAAGUUCGUGCCAGCAGCCGCGGUAAGACGAACCUUGCUAACGUUAUUCGGAAUUACUGGGCUUAAAGGGUGCGUAGGCGGUGCGGAAAGUCGGGUGUGAAAUCCCCCAGCUCAACUGGGGAAUUGCGCCUGAAACUACCGUGCUCGAGGAAGACAGAGGUACGCGGAACUUAGGGUGGAGCGGUGAAAUGCGUUGAUAUCCUAAGGAACACCGGUGGCGAAAGCGGCGUACUGGGUCUUAUCUGACGCUGAGGCACGAAAGCUAGGGUAGCGAACGGGAUUAGAUACCCCCGUAGUCC